GGUAGUCCACGCCGUAAACGAUGUCUACUAGCCGUUGGCCUCCUUGAGGGGUUAGUGGCGCAGCUAACGCAAUAAGUAGACCGCCUGGGGAGUACGGCCGCAAGGUUAAAACUCAAAUGAAUUGACGGGGGCCCGCACAAGCGGUGGAGCAUGUGGUUCAAUUCGAAGCAACGCGCAGAACCUUACCAACCUUUGACAUCCCGAUCGCGGGCACCAGAGAUGGAGCCUUUCAGUUCGGCUGGAACGGAGACAGGUGCUGCAUGGCUGUCGUCAGCUCGUGUCGUGAGAUGUUGGGUUAAGUCCCGCAACGAGCGCAACCUUCGCCCUUAGUUGCCAUCAUUCAGUUGGGCACUCUAAGGGGACUGCCGGUGAUAAGCCGGAGGAAGGUGGGGAUGACGUCAAGUCCUCAUGGCCCUUACAGGUUGGGCUACACACGUGCUACAAUGGCGGUGACAGAGGGAUGCAAUGGAGUAAUCCUGCGCAAAUCUCAAAAAGCCGUCUCAGUUCGGAUUGUGCUCUGCAACUCGAGCACAUGAAGUUGGAAUCGCUAGUAAUCGCAGAUCAGCACGCUGCGGUGAAUACGUUCCCGGGCCUUGUACACACCGCCCGUCACACCAUGGGAGU
rnacentral:rRNA from 1 species